GGGAGGGUGGUGAUUGGUCGGAAUAUGAGGGGCGGAAGUGACGUCAUAGGUGAGGGUAUUAUUAUGGGAAACACAGCGGUCAAACACUGCGCAUGCUCAAAAAUUGAAAACCAAGAUGGCGGACGUUCUACCACAUGGAAGCAUAAACAAGAGAGGAAAAUGGGAGAAAUGUGCACUUUAAUUUCUUGCCAUUGAGUAAUGUUUAUAAUCUAAAGAAAGAGAGAAGGUUCCUUUCGUCCCUGAUCAUUUAUUUUACCAAUCUAUGCUUCAGCGACUUUUAUAAGGGAUGCGAAACGAAGCGGAGUGCAGCUUUACCAACAAGGGCACCAAAAGUUCCAUGCAAAUGGCUAUCAAGGAGAAGCACUUCAUUCCCUCUUCCAAGGAAACAUACAGAUAGGCCAUUGAUUAUUACGAGUGCAGCGAUAUUGGGUUCUCUCACUAGACGCUGGAGGUAGAACCUAAGUGAUGACUGUGGGACUUGUGGAUUCUGACACACAAAGUCUACAUCAAAGGAGUCUUCUACCGUAAUUGUGCCAAUUGAAGAUAGAUGCACAGCAGCAUCUUGAACUCUGAAAUUAAUAGCCCCGGCCUCCUGUGACUUGUUGGUGAACUCUAUUUCCAUGAGAAAUGCAAUAACACAUAAUCACUCCCCAAACUGGUGACAACUGGGCAAUUGGAAAUGCAAGUGUUCCUAAAUUAGAAAUGACUGUUUUGGCUAAAAUAAUAGCAAUAAAGUGCAGGCAUUUGAUCCGUUUCGCCCAUUUAGGGUAGAUUGGGAGAUACUGUUCUCAAACAGCCAAAUUUUACAACCAGACACAUUCAAUGCCUUGUUCUCUACUGUGGUAUCAAAUGUCUUGAUAUAAAACUGAGGCUUUCCUUUUGGAGUCCCCUGCCUGGUUGUUUCUUGAGGAAGUUUUCUUGAUUGUCCUAGAUUCUGUGCAAUGCUAACAAAUAGCUUCAGCAGUGUCUCAGCUGACCUCCCAGCAAUCAAUUUUAUAUUUCUUUCUGAAUUUGUUCCUCUUAGAUAUGGUCGAAUAAAAUUUGCAAAGAAUGAUUUUGCAGUUUUUGAUGUUGUAAGACCAAUUGCUGUAUCUCUAAUCUGGUUGGCUUUGUAGUAAUCGCGUAUAUGGAAACGUAACAGGGAGUGCCAAAUCUCCACUUUUUUCUCGGUGAUGAUUGCAAGCCAUUUCUUUUUAAAGUUGUAGUAUUCGAGUAAAAAAAUUUCGUUGGUGGCAUAAAUCGUUUAACAUUGACAGGGUUGACCUGUCAUAGUGAUGGCGGUUCCAGAUGAUAAAUAGGAUCAGGAAUCUGAACAUGAUUGACUCAUAAUGUUCUAGGUCACCAGAACGGAAAAUAACUCCAUAUUGAAAAAUAAAUAGAGGGAGAACUUCAUCAAGGAUAUUGAGUAUGCAUGCAAAUUCCAUGUCUUUGCACAGUUUAAGUUUUCCAAGAACUUUAUCUCGGAUCAGUAGCCAGCCAAGGAGAGUGCCAAUCAAGACCAGAUUUGAUCUGAAUGGCUUUGGUUUCACUGGCAGGAUACCUCCAAAUACAUCUGUAUAUAUCCUUGAAAAAAAGAAGUGAUAAGUUGUUAUAAUGUCCUCUACUGCAUUCAAACUGACAUGAAAGGGUCCUUGCUCAGGAAUUAAUGAUGCAUAUAUGUUACUUUGUUGCGCAACAAGUUUCUUGAAGUAAAACCAGGUAGGCCAAUCUCCAGGGCAGGGAAGUGCAUAUUCCUUGGUGUAGUUUAAUAAUGGUUGUCCAGCACUGCUAAUUGUGUGGUCAAGUGCAAACUUAUAGUUUUCCAUGGACUUUAAUGGAUGUUCGAAUUCAUCGACUAGUCGACAACUGUUUAGCUUGCAUAGUUCUUCAUGUGCUAAGUCAUGGUAAACACAAAAUUCAUCGAGUUGACUCUGCACUGACUCUCCAUUUAGCUUUCUAUAACCUGGAACUGAGCUGAAGAAGGAAGUUUGCCACUCCUUCAACUUUUCAGCAAUGGUUAGGAGAUUUCCAACUGAGAUCCCCCAAACACAUUUUUGCAUGAUUCCAUUCAUUGAAACAGAUGGAGAAAUGAACAGCAUCAAUACUUUUAGGCACCUUUGGGGCUUUGAUAGAAGGGUGGAUAUCUAACAGUGAAGAGGUCAUAUGGGUAGCCACUGAUAGUUUCAUAUCACUCCCUGGCAGUCGCACAGUGUGAAUAUUGUGAAAGUCAUCUAUAAGCAGCAUUAUGAAGCCCUUCUCCUAUAAGAUAAAACAAAGAAAGAAAAAUAUUUAAAUUUGGAAAUUGACUAUACUUUGAAAUGUUUAUUAGUAGAAAUACACCCCCAUUCCCACCACUCUAGAAUUUCCUAAAUCCCUUCCUCAGACAUUGUGCAGUGCAUGUAAACGCUUAAUUCCUAUUCCUGUAGCAACGCACCAUGGGUAUGGUUUACGGUCCGGUACGGCGUCUGUUGUCCCCAUCUGCGGCCGUACGAAUAGGCUCAACAAUUUCUGUACUUAUCGUUAUCAACAAGUUAUGUAAAUGUAAGGAUGUAUUAUAUAUAUACUGGCUGCCCUGUAAUUCAGCUUUCGCUGCAAUAGGGUUAAUAAACACAUUAUCUAUCUA